rnacentral:rRNA from 1 species
GGCGGACGGGUUGAGUAACGCGUGGGAAUGUGCCCUUCUCUAUGGAAUAGCCACUGGAAACGGUGAGUAAUACCAUAUACGCCCUUCGGGGGAAAGAUUUAUCGGAGAAGGAUCGGCCCGCGUUAGAUUAGGUAGUUGGUGGGGUAAUGGCCUACCAAGCCUACGAUCUAUAGCUGGUUUUAGAGGAUGAUCAGCCACACUGGGACUGAGACACGGCCCAGACUCCUACGGGAGGCAGCAGUGGGGAAUCUUAGACAAUGGGCGCAAGCCUGAUCUAGCCAUGCCGCGUGAGUGAUGAAGGCCUUAGGGUCGUAAAGCUCUUUCGCCAGAGAUGAUAAUGACAGUAUCUGGUAAAGAAACCCCGGCUAACUCCGUGCCAGCAGCCGCGGUAAUACGGAGGGGGUUAGCGUUGUUCGGAAUUACUGGGCGUAAAGCGCAC